rnacentral:tRNA from 2 species
CACUAAGAAGCUAAAACGGAAAUAGCAGUAGCCUUUUAAGCUGAAGUAUGGUGACCUCCAACCACCCUUAGUGG